rnacentral:rRNA from 1 species
UGAGGAAUAUUGGUCAAUGGGCGCAAGCCUGAACCAGCCAUGCCGCGUGCAGGAUGAAGCAUCUAUGGUGUGUAAACUGCUUUUGUACGGGAAGAAACACCUCUACGUGUAGAGGCUUGACGGUACCGUAAGAAUAAGGAUCGGCUAACUCCGUGCCAGCAGCCGCGGUAAUACGGAGGAUCCAAGCGUUAUCCGGAAUCAUUGGGUUUAAAGGGUCCGUAGGCGGUUUUAUAAGUCAGUGGUGAAAUCCGGCAGCGCAACUGUCGAACUGCCAUUGAUACUGUAGAACUUGAAUUAUUGUGAAGUAACUAGAAUAUGUAGUGUAGCGGUGAAAUGCUUAGAUAUUACAUGGAAUACCCAUUGCGAAGGCAGGUUACUAACAAUUGAUUGACGCUGAUGGACGAAAGCGUGGGGAGCGAACAGG